UUUCAUGAGAAAAGCUGGUGAGAACACAGUAGAAUGUAAUUUAAGAGAGAGAAGUAAGGGCUGACAAAAAAGGGAAGAUAUAUUCACCCCAGGGCAUCGUGAAAGCAAAAUGAAUGGAGAGCAAAGCAGCAUAAGAAAUGCAGCGAGGCCUGGAGUCAACGUCUCGGGGCAUUUGGUCAAAGAUCACCAUCCCUCCUUCAUGAUACCAUCUCCAAAAGGAGAUUCGGAAUUUUAUGAGUACAUUCUCUGCUUCUGUUUUAGCCAACAUGAUUAAAGGUGGUAAAGGAGUUCUGCAUAUUAUUAUCUGACCAGAUCCAAGAGGAGACCUCUUGCCUCAUGAAACCCCACACCCAAGCAUCCUUUCUGAAGAGAAGAACCCUUUACACUGGCAAACUUGAUCCUGAACACUGGAUUCUAUCAAUGGAAAAACAUCUCUGCUGUUGAGAGCUUGGCCUGUGGUGUUGAAUGAGGAGUUCAGCGUCACAGACGCUGGAGCUGAUGACUGUUAGGAAGCAUCUGGUACAAUCCUCCUGCUCAACAGAGGAGUCUGGACAAAGCUAAUCAGUAACCCAACUCUAAGAAACCUGAGCUCCCAAUUCUCAGCCCAAAGCCCGGAUGAGUAAAAUGUGAAUUCAGUGAAUGCUGAUCAAAGACUCAAAGGAAUGCAACAGCUCUCCUCUUUUCUCUACCCUCCUCUUUUAUUUUUCUCUUUCCUCUUUCCCCUACUACUUGCUCUUUUCCCCUUUAAAUAUAGAAGUCCCAAACCCCUCUUUGGAAAAAAGCAUGGAUCACAGAUUGUUCCUGUGGUUUUGUGUUCCUUUUUGCUGGGUGCAUCCUUAACCUUGGCAAA